AAAAAUACUCUGGCAGUUGCUUCCAUGUGGCUUGCCAAAGGGGUGUUAAGAAAUUUUCCUGGUUGCUCUAUAUGUGUGAGCUGCAAAGAGGUGAUAAAUUGCUGAAGGAAAUUAAAGUGGGGGGUUGAAGCUGAAGUUUUGUGGUCUUCUGAUUUAGGCAGCCUUAGAUUACAAGUUGCUGGUUGUGUUGGAAUCUAAAGGUUAGUUGCUCUCUCUGAUUUACCCAGGAGUGCUGCAAAGACAGAUUAAUGGAUAAAAACAUCACACAGCCUCUGGUGCUCUCUGUGCUUGAUUUACUCAGGUGCUGGAAAAGGAAACCCCAGUAAGCUGGAACGAAGCAGCUGAAGUGGUAACCGAAGUGCUUUGGACAAGCAGUCAUCUCUCAUUGUGGAGACUGCCAUGGCUUGGCACAGGAAGGAAGGAAGGUCUUGUUGGCUCCAGGAAGAAGGAGACAUUGACAUUCCUUGGUGGUGUGUGACUGGUCAUCAGCUGACCAGAAGAUACUGAUGGAGGUGCUUCUUCACGCAAGCAAGACUGCAAGCCCCAGCUCCUUUUCAUUCGACUGAGAAGAUAAUGCAUGGUAGCGAUGUGAAUGUGUUGCUCUCAUGAGGUGAGUGCUGACUUUUGGCCAUACCAGUGGUAACGAAGGGUUACAGAAGUGCUGAAACUCAAAAAUACAAACACAAAUAUCAGACCUUCAGCCCUCCCAUAGGGCAUU
rnacentral:lncRNA from 1 species